rnacentral:tRNA from 1 species
GCUCGUCUAGCUCAGUCGAUAGAGAGCAAGGCUCUUAACCUUAAGGUCGUGGGUUUGAUCCCCACCGUGGGCG